AAGGAUCAUUAUUGAAAUAAACUUGAUGAGUUGUUGCUGGCUCUCUAGGGAGCAUGUGCACGCUUGUCCUCUUUAUAUCUCCACCUGUGCACCCUUUGUAGACCUGGGAAUGUUUGGGGAUUAACUUCUCCCUUGCGUUUCCGGGCCUAUGUUUAUUCAUUUACCCCAUUGUAUGUUAUAGAAUGUAGUAAUGGGCCUUUUAUGCCUAUAAAGCUUAUACAACUUUCAGCAACGGAUCUCUUGGCUCUCGCAUCGAUGAAGAACGCAGCGAAAUGCGAUAAGUAAUGUGAAUUGCAGAAUUCAGUGAAUCAUCGAAUCUUUGAACGCACCUUGCGCUCUUUGGUAUUCCGAAGAGCAUGCCUGUUUGAGUGUCAUUAAAAUAAUCAACCUCUUCGGCUUUUGCUUGUCGAGUGUUGGAUGUGGGGGUCUUUUUUUUGCUGGGCUUAUCUAGCUCAGCUCCCCUGAAAAGCAUUAGCGGAACAAACUGUUGACCCGUUCAUUGGCGUGAUAAUUAUCUAUGCUAUUGACGGUGAAGUAGUUCAGCUUCUAAAUAGUCCAUUGACUUGGACAAAUUAUCAUCUAUGUGACCUCAAAUCAGGUAGGACUACCCGCUGAACUUAA
rnacentral:rRNA from 1 species